GGGGAAUAUUGCGCAAUGGGGGCAACCCUGACGCAGCCAUGCCGCGUGAAUGAAGAAGGCCUUCGGGUUGUAAAGUUCUUUCGGUAGCGAGGAAGGCAUUUAGUUUAAUAGACUAGGUGAUUGACGUUAACUACAGAAGAAGCACCGGCUAACUCCGUGCCAGCAGCCGCGGUAAUACGGAGGGUGCGAGCGUUAAUCGGAAUAACUGGGCGUAAAGGGCACGCAGGCGGUGACUUAAGUGAGGUGUGAAAGCCCCGGGCUUAACCUGGGAAUUGCAUUUCAUACUGGGUCGCUAGAGUACUUUAGGGAGGGGUAGAAUUCCACGUGUAGCGGUGAAAUGCGUAGAGAUGUGGAGGAAUACCGAAGGCGAAGGCAGCCCCUUGGGAAUGUACUGACGCUCAUGUGCGAAAGCGUGGGGAGCAAACAGGAUUAGAUACCCUGGUAGUCCACGCUGUAAACGCUGUCGAUUUGGGGAUUGAGCUUUAAGCUUGGUGCCUGUAGCUAACGUGAUAAAUCGACCGCCUGGGGAGUACGGCCGCAAGGUUA
rnacentral:rRNA from 1 species